CAUACCCUCACUGACUUGCCUCGGACCUUCGUCCAGCGUUCCCCUCCCAGCCGCCGCCAAAACAGAAAGCCCUACCUUUGCUCGAAUGCGAUGGCGCCACCGCCGCUAGCCACGGCGGCGGCGGCCAAUCCUCACGAGGAGAUCCUGGAGGUGCACUGCGUGGGAUGCAGAGAGACACUAGAGGUGGAACGGGGGCUGACGGAGUUUGUCUGUCCCGAUUGCGGCACGCCGCAGUCGCUCCCGCCGGAGCUCAUGCCGCCGCCCCGGCGGAGGGCGCUUCCGAUGCCGCGCAGCGCCGCGGACGCGCGCGGGGCUCGGCUUCCGUGCGGCGCCUGCGGCGAGCUCCUUAGUGUGCCGGUCGGGCUAUCGCGCUGCGCCUGCCCCUUCUGCGGCGCCGAGCUGGCCGUCAACUCCGCGCGCCUCCGGAACUACAUCCUGUCCUCCGCCGCCGCGGCCGUCGUGCCGCUCGCCCCCGCGACUGUCUCACCCAUCGUUGCUGCUCGGGAGACAUGGCAGGAGCAUUCGAGUUAUGCAAUGUAUGCAGGACUACCCCGAGCAGAACCUAAUGCCAGGCUAAUUCCUACGGGGAGGACACAGAUAGAGCGUCCCAGCCGUCUCAUCCACGUCCAUCGGGAUGAACAGAAGUAUCCUCAUCAUAUGGCUGAUAGAGAGGAGAUACCUAUGGCCAAUGAGACUGUUGCAAACAAUAGCCUUCAGAGAAAUCGACUUUCACCUGGCCAUCGUACUUUGGGUAAUGAGGAGAGACAUGUUUUUCCUCUAAAUGAGGUCAGAGAUCAUGUAAAGGAUCAGCACCCUAGUUACAUAGUUCAGCCAAAGCGAGCAAAGACGGCACACCUGCAUAGAGUCAUUCAUUCAGAGGAGAUGCAGGAAGGGCCUCUCAGCCAUGAAGUGUGUAGAGAGGCGAGACGCACUGAACUGAUAUAUGAGACUGCUGUAACUCGUAGAAACCAGAGAGUUGGAUGCUCCGCUACCCCCCAGUCAUUAAGUGUAGAGGACAAGCAUAUGGAGACUCCUAGUGAGAGCAUACAGAAGGCGCACAAACACCCUUAUCAUGAGAGUCAUGCAGAGGGCAGUCAUGUAGGGUGUCUGGACAUGGAUGGGGUGGUUCACCCGCCGUUCAACCAAGCAAAUCAUGAACCUGUAGAAAGUGACCAUGAUGACCUGCAAGAUUUUGCUCCUAAUAUCGAAGUGCCAUCAGUUGCUAUGGAGGACGACCCAAUGGAAUGGGGGCCUUUUCAGCGGCGUUCCGCCUCUCCAGAUUUCGAAGUGUCAGUUGCCACAGCAAACACUGAAUCUGUAGAAAGUGAGCAGGAUGAGCACCAUGAUGUAUCUCCAGAUCAGAGCAGACAUGAGUCUGAACCUCCAGACAUUGAUGGAAUCAUUGCUGAUCUUUGCCCUAGCACACCUUCUGCGCAUAAGAUGGCUCAAGAAAUCUCUGAUGAAUCAGAUGCGCCUGAUUCAACCACAAUUCCUUCAAAUACUGAUAUGUCUGACCCUGAGCGUUUCGCGCGUAAUUAUUGUCUGGAGGUCAGAAGGGCCCUUGGAAAGAAGAAACCUAACGUGUUUCUUAACCGUUUGAUGUCUCAGGGUUCCAAUAAGGCAUCCCUGCAUGAUUUAAGUGAUUCUGAAGAGCAGCAAGAAGUCCAAAAGGGAAAGAAACGUCUUAGUGUCAAAGUAUGGACCUUACCCAAGACUGUACGGAUACCAGUUUCCUUGAACACUUCGGGCCUGCCAGUUGGAGAAAAUGCAACCAUGUUGAUUAACUUUCUGGGUGUACUAGCACGAGAUGCAAUAUUGGCACCUCUCACGUAUAUAAGUUGGAAAAGUAUUCCAACAGAGAACAAGAGUGUAAUGUGGCACAUUGUUAAGCUUAAAUUUGAUGUGGAUCCAUCUCAUGAGUUGCCGGUCAUGACGUUCAUAAGAAACAAGCGGAGGGUUUGGAAAUCUCAAUUAAAACGGACACAUUAUGAUACCCAUGUAUCUGAAGAGGAACGCCUUGCUGAUCGAGAUCCUCGUGUCCCAAAAGAACAUUGGCGAGUCCUUCUUGCGUAUUGGAGUACUGAAAAGUUCAAGGCUAUAAGUGCUGCAGGUAAAGCUUGCAGGGCCAGAUCAACCUAUAUCAAUGUUACCGGAUCAAAGAGCUUUGCACGGAUACGUCAGGAAGAGUCACAAUCUGGUGACCCAGCUCACGAGAAUCCAGAAGGUUCAGGAGGCGAUUAUGCAUCUGUCGUGGGUGCAGAAAGGAGGGGUAAGACACGCAGGCAUAAAUCUGGGCCCUCCCCCGAAGACAUGCAGGGAAGGUCAGCCUCGCAAGCUGCGAGGACCAAAACAAAGGCUGGAGAUGAAGCCUCCAAACUGAAAGAGGAGGUUGUAGUAACAGAGGAAAUUCGAAACCCCCAGGUCUGGGCAGCCUCUAAAGAUGCGAGGGCUGAAAGAAGGGCUGAAGAAGAGGCAGCUGCUCUAAGGAAGAAGGUGAUAGUGAUGGAGGAAAGCCAGAAAAAGCUGCAGGAGGACUUGGCAAGAAUGACGAAUGCAAUGAGUGCCAUACAGAAUAUGAUGUCCACCGGUGGCUUACCAAAUGGAUCUAUGGGUGGACCAAUGGUGCCACCAAAAUUAUAACAGGACCAAAAUGCAGCGGGCUUCCACGAUGUUUUACAGCCGUAUAUUGAUUACUCAGGGCUAUGUGAUCCUUCGUCGCCUAGUCUUCAGACUGGAUGAGACGAUUGACCUGAUCGGCUGAUGCUUGAGGGUACAUAGCUGCAGUAGCUUUUGCCUUUUACGCUUUGAUUUUAAUUUUAGAUGCACUGUCUUCGGUUUCUCCGGUGGAAGUGAUCACAUUCAGCCAUAUGGUCGUAAUCUCUUGUCAUGUUUUUUCUGUUGUCAUGAUAGGGUAAUUAGUUAUUUAUUGGCUAUGUAGAACUAGGAACUUAUAGCAUGUUCUACCGAUGCAUGCUACAACAACGGGAUGUUGCCCAAAUGCUUCUUAGUGUUCACGGAAUGCUGUGUUUCAGUUGAGUGUUUCGUCAGUUGUUCAUGGUACGCACGCCUACCACAAAGCUAUCACUGGCUAUCUCUAUGUUCCGCUCCUGCACAAGGACUGAGAAGUUCGGUGACAGAGCUGGAAUCUGUAUGUAGCAUUGUACGCGUCUAAAGAUUUAAUCUAAUUAAAGUUUUGGUGUCUCA